rnacentral:lncRNA from 1 species
UUUUUAAAGUUUUUGUGUUUAUUACGUGUUUUUGAAUUAAUUAAAACAUUUAAAUAUAAAGAAUAUGAUUCCUUAUAAUAGUUUCAAGUGUGUGAAAGUUUGAUAACCGAGAAGAAAGCAAAUUUAGGAGGUUAUGAUGAAAAACAACAACAUUAACAAGCUGGCGAAAUGAGCGAAAUGUACUCCUGAGUUGAAAAACCUUAUAAGAUAUUUAUUUGGAAUGGAAACAAAAAAAUCAACUGAAGAAGAUACAGCUGAGACUCCAUCGCUGUCUAAACGAUUAAAAAAACCUUCUGCAAAAAAUACUUGCUAGCAAGCAAAAUAUCAAAAACCAGUGCUUUUAAAAUUGUAACAAAAAAUAUGUCAAGAGCAUCGAAAAUGUUAUUUUACAUGCAGGUGAAAGAAGGUGGAAAGAAAACCAGAGGAAGGCGUUUCACUCGAAAUGAUAAAAUAUUAGCUUUGUCAUUAUAUACCCUCCCCUAAAAAGCAUAUUGUUUGCUAAGCCACCUUUGCGUUUUGCCAAGUCAAAGAACGGUGCAAAAUAUUUUGAAAAAAGUAGAUUUAUUGCCAGGCAUAAAUUAUACACUUUUUGAAGACUUGUAAAAGAAAGUGUCACAAAUGCAGGACAAACAUAAAUUUUGCUCGAUUACGUUUGAUGAAAUGUCUAUUGCACCAGCACUAAGUUACGACAAAACACACGAAUUAUUAUUUUCGGAUCAUGUGCUUGUAUUCAUGGUGAGUGGUUGUAAAAAAAUAUGAACAGCCGAUAGCCUACAGUUUUUGCUUCAGCACAACGAAAACUGCAGAUUGAAAAAUACUUUUAAAAAGUAUAAUCAAAAAGGUUUAAACAACUAGCCUAUAAGUAGUUGCUACUAUAUGUGGCCAUGGAGCUAAAAAACUUGCUGCCUUAAACCAAUUGGUGGAUGACGCAAAAAAAAAAAGAUGCAAAAUGAAGAAUUUAGUGGAAGUUUUUUUUGAAGUGGAUGGUAUUCAAAUUGUGCCUAUAUAUGACCCAGGUCAUUUAACUAAGGGCGUGCGAAAUUAUUUGCUCAACAGAUAUCUAAAAUUUGUUAAAAAUGGCAACAUUCAUAUGGCGAAAUGGAGUCAUAUAAAAAAUCUUUUCCACAGAAGUCCAAAAUUCAGGGGCAUUAAGGUGCUCCACAAGCUUCCUAUUUUACAUGUAGUGCCUUCAAUGAUUCCAAAAAUGAGGGUAUAAUACUGCACUUCAGCAAGACUGUUGGUGUGGCACUUGGAUGUAUGGCAGAAAGUGGAAAUGUCCCUUGAGGAAGCACGGACACUGCAGAAUUAAUAAUGGUGUUCGACGGUCUAUUUGACUCCCUCAACGCAAGCUUCAACAUAGGAGAAGGGAAAAUUUAUAGCUAAGCAGUUACAGCAAACUCACCCCAUUUAAAAUUAUAGAACUCUAGUGUAACAAAAAUAUCUAUGAAAUAUAUAAUUAAUGAGAAAGAAGUAACAGUGCCUACUCUUACCAGCUGGGAGUAAACAAUUGACGGUUUAAAACUUAUUGUGGUUACAAGGAAUAAACUCUUUACUUUUAAGAAAUAUUAAUCGAGACCCACUUGAAAACUUUUUUGGUGCAAUAAGAGUGCAUGGCUAUAAUAAUGUUAUACCCAAUGCACAAGCAUUUGAAAAUGCUUUUAAAAUUUUGCUAAUUAAUAUUAUAACAUCUGCGCAUUUGUCUCAAGGAAAUUGCGAAAUGGAUGACAGUAUUUGUCUACAUUCAUUAAAAUCCUUUAUUCUGAAUGAAGCACCCAGCAGCAACAAUGGUAAUGAGUUAAGGCACAUUAAUGAGCAUCAUUUAAAUAUUCAAUUAACAAAUGCAGAAGAAAUUUUAAAAAGUCGUGCCGUCAGCACUGAAAAACAGACUUGUUAUUACAGUCCAUCUAUGGAUAAAAAUCAUCAAACAUCUAUGAAUAUGGGAAAUAGACUUUAAUUUUGUUACAUGCAUUGAGCAUACAACUAAUUUAAAAAACGUAUUUGAAGAAUAAAAGUAUUGUGUUAUUUGUUAUGAAUUGGUGUAAAGAAAUCAGCAAUGUUUUAACUGGCAAGCGUUUUUAUAAUUUAAUUAAAGCAGACAUCCAUGAAGUAGAUAGCAUUAUCCUACAGGCUCGUGAACCGGAAAAAACUAAUGAAUGUAUGAAUAAAGGUGUAAAAAAAAAUACUUCAAUAAAAACUAUUAUUUAUCUCUGUU